rnacentral:lncRNA from 1 species
AUAGAUCGUACCAUGGUUUGGCAAGCCAGAAAUGUGUUUGAGCAAAUUGUCAUUAUAUAUCUAAUCUGGUCAUUCACAUAGGUAGUCGAAAAUCUACAUCUACUCUCAGAGAUUGAAGUUGGAAUGACUUCGUGAAGUAUGACAUGAAAAUCUGAACAUUUCAUGAUUUAUUUGAUUUUUUCUAUUGUUAAGUAUGAUUUUGAUUUGACUAUUGUGACUGUGAUAUGAUGUUUUCUU